GCCGUGAUCAGAUAUUCAGGAUUUAUUUGAGCAAGUUGAAACUUGACCACGAGGCAUCCUUUUAUUCACAGAGGCUUGCUGCUCUAACACCUGGAUUUGCUGGAGCAGACAUUGCAAAUGUUUGUAAUGAAGCUGCUUUAAUUGCAGCAAGGAAUGAGAGCACAAUAAUUACAAUGCAACAUUUUGAGUCAGCCAUAGAUAGGGUAAUUGGUGGGCUUGAGAAGAAGAAUAAGGUCAUAAGCAAGCUAGAGAGGC
rnacentral:misc_RNA from 1 species